CAAAAACAUCGCCUCUUGAACUUUAUAAGAGGUAACGCCUGCCCAGUGAUUUAACAUUUAACGGCCGCGGUAUUCUGACCGUGCAAAGGUAGCGUAAUCAUUUGUCUUUUAAAUAAAGACUAGUAUGAAUGGCAUCACGAGGACUUAACUGUCUCCCUAAUUUAAUCAGUGAAACUGAUCUUCCUGUGAAAAAGCAGGAAUAACUUAAUAAGACGAGAAGACCCUAUGGAGCUUAAAAUCUAUAUCUACCUAUAUUUUCUGGUAAUAAGUACCACUAAUUUAUAGACCUAGAUAAAAUUUUUGGUUGGGGCGACAAUGGAGAACAACUUAUCCUCCAUGAAGAAAAACUUUGAGUUACCACUCUUAGUAGUAGCAAGCCUAACUUAAAUUGAUCCAAAUUUUUUGAUCAACGGAACAAGUUACCCUAGGGAUAACAGCGCAAUCCAUUUCAAGAGUUCAUAUCGACAAAUGGGUUUACGACCUCGAUGUUGGAUUAGGACAUCCAAGUGGUGCAGCCGCUACUAAGGGUUCGUUUGUUCAACGAUUAAAGUCCUACGUGA
rnacentral:rRNA from 1 species